GAUAAACGCUGGCGGCGUGCAUGAGACAUGCAAGUCGAACGGACGAUCGAGGCUUGCCUUGAUCGUUAGUGGCGGACGGCUGAGUAACGCGUAGGUGACCUGCCCCGAAGUGGGGAAUAACUGCCCGAAAGGGUGGCUAAUACCGCAUGUGGUGGUGUGUUCAUUCACACCAGUAAAGCCGCAAGGCGCUUCGGGAGGGGCCUGCGUCCGAUUAGCUCGUUGGUGGGGUAACGGCUCACCAAGGCGACGAUCGGUAGGUGGUCUGAGAGG
rnacentral:rRNA from 1 species